rnacentral:misc_RNA from 1 species
GAUGAAGAACGCAGCGAAAUGCGAUAAGUAAUGUGAAUUGCAGAAUUCAGUGAAUCAUCGAAUCUUUGAACGCACAUUGCGCCCGCCAGUAUUCUGGCGGGCAUGCCUGUCUGAGCGUCAUUUCAACCCUCACGCCCCUAGGGCGUGGUGUUGGGGAUCGGCCAAAGCCCGCGAGGGACGGCCGGCCCCUAAAUCUAGUGGCGGACCCGUCGUGGCCUCCUCUGCGAAGUAGUGAUAUUCCGCAUCGGAGAGCGAUGAGCCCCUGCCGUUAAACCCCCAACUUUCCAAGGUUGACCUCAGAUCAGGUAGGAAUACCCGCUGAACUUAAGCAUAUCAAUAAGCGGAGGA